rnacentral:rRNA from 1 species
AUACGUAGGGUGCGAGCGUUGUCCGGAAUUACUGGGCGUAAAGAGCUCGUAGGUGGUUUGUCGCGUCGUCUGUGAAAUUCCGGGGCUUAACUCCGGGCGUGCAGGCGAUACGGGCAUAACUUGAGUACUGUAGGGGAGACUGGAAUUCCUGGUGUAGCGGUGAAAUGCGCAGAUAUCAGGAGGAACACCGGUGGCGAAGGCGGGUCUCUGGGCUGUAACUGACGCUGAGGAGCGAAAGCAUGGGUGGCGAACAGGAUUAGAUACCCUGGUAGUCCAGGCCGUAAACGGUGGGCGCUAGGUGUAGGGGUCUUCCACGACUUCUGUGCCGUAGCUAACGCAUUAAGCGCCCCGCCUGGGGAGUACGGCCGCAAGGCUAAAACUCAAAUGAAUUGACGGGG